rnacentral:rRNA from 1 species
AAUCGAAGCAGUGAACUUAAGCCCCAGUAAACGGCGGCCGUAACUAUAACGGUCCUAAGGUAGCGAAAUUCCUUGUCGGGUAAGUUCCGACCCGCACGAAAGGCGUAACGAUUUGGGCACUGUCUCAACAACAGACUCGGUGAAAUUGUAAUUCCGGUGAAGAUGCCGGAUACCUGCGACAGGACGGAAAGACCCCAUGGAGCUUUACUGUAGCUUGACAUUGGGUCUUGGUACUACAUGUACAGGAUAGGUGGGAGGCUUUGAAACCAGGACGCCAGUUUUGGCGGAGCCAUCCUUGGGAUACCACCCUUGUAGUACUGGGACUCUAACCAUAGGCCAUGAAUCUGGUCUUGGGACACUGUCAGGUGGGCAGUUUGACUGGGGCGGUCGCCUCCCAAAAGGUAACGGAGGCGCUCAAAGGUUCUCUCAGUACGGUCGGAAAUCGUACGUAGAGUGUAAAGGCAAAAGAGAGCUUGAUUGCAAGACAUACAGGUCGAGCAAGGAUGAAAAUCGGACUUAGUGAUCCGGUGGUUCUGCGUGGAAGGGCCAUCGCUCAACGGAUAAAAGCUACCCUGGGGAUAACAGGCUUAUCUCCCCCAAGAGUCCACAUCGACGGGGAGGUUUGGCACCUCGAUGUCGGCUCAUCACAUCCUGGGGCUGUAGUAGGUCCCAAGGGUUGGGCUGUUCGC